GGUGAACGCUGGCGGCGUGCCUAAUACAUGCAAGUCGAGCGAAUGGAUUAAGAGCUUGCUCUUAUGAAGUUAGCGGCGGACGGGUGAGUAACACGUGGGUAACCUGCCCAUAAGACUGGGAUAACUCCGGGAAACCGGGGCUAAUACCGGAUAACAUUUUGAACCGCAUGGUUCGAAAUUGAAAGGCGGCUUCGGCUGUCACUUAUGGAUGGACCCGCGUAGCAUUAGCUAGUUGGUGAGGUAAAGGCUCACCAAGGCAACGAUGCGUAGCCGACCUGAGAGGGUGAUGGGCCACACUGGGACUAAGACACGGCCCAGACUCCUACGGGAGGCAGCAGUAGGGAAUCUUCCGCAAUGGACGAAAGUCUGACGGAGCAACGCCGCGUGAGUGAUGCAGGCUUUCGGGUCGUAAAACUCUGUUGUUAGGGAAGAACAAGUGCUAGUUGAAUAAGCUGGCACCUUGACGGUACCUAACCAGAAAGCCACGGCUAACUACGUGCCAGCCGCCGCUGUAA
rnacentral:rRNA from 1 species